UACAGAGGGGGCAAGCGUUGUUCGGAAUUACUGGGCGUAAAGGGCGCGUAGGCGGCCUUCUAAGUCGAACGUGAAAUCCCCGGGCUCAACCCGGGAACUGCGUCCGAUACUGGAAGGCUUGAAUCCGGGAGAGGGAUGCGGAAUUCCAGGUGUAGCGGUGAAAUGCGUAGAUAUCUGGAGGAACACCGGUGGCGAAGGCGGCAUCCUGGACCGGGAUUGACGCUGAGUGAGCGAAAGCUAGGGGAGCAACGGG
rnacentral:rRNA from 1 species